AGGCUAAGGGGUUUGUGGAGGAAAUGAGGUUUGUGGCUAUGAAGUUGCAUACUAAGGACCAGGCUAAGGAAGGGGAAAAAGAGCCUGUAGAUCAGCCUUUGGCCAAGUGGGAGCCUAGUGUUGAAGGGUACUUGAAGUUCUUGGUGGAUAGCAAAUUGGUUUAUGAUACUUUGGAAAGAAUUGUGGAAAAGGCUCCUUUUCCUGAGUAUGCUGAGUUCAGGAAUACAGGAUUAGAAAGGUCUGAGGUUCUAGCAAAGGAUUUGGAAUGGUUUAGGCAGCAGGGUCAUGCCAUCCCGGAACCAUCAACUCCUGGUGUCACCUAUGCUAGUUACUUAGAGGAGCUAUCAGAAAAGGAUCCUCAAGCAUUUAUUUGCCAUUUUUACAACACCUACUUUGCUCAUUCAGCUGGAGGCCGCAUGAUAGGGAAAAAGGUAGCUGAAAAGGUACUUGACAAGAAAGAGCUGGAAUUCUACAAAUGGGACGGCGAUCUUUCUCAGCUGCUGCAGAAUGUUAGGGAUAAGCUGAACAAAGUUGCAGAAAACUGGACUAGAGAGGAGAAGAAUCAUUGUCUGGAAGAGACAGAGAAGUCAUUCAAGUUCUCCGGGGCCAUUCUCCGUUUGAUAUUUUCUUGAUGCACAACUUUGCGCUUUGUUUCCUCGUUUUAACUUGUACAUUGGAUGGUUGAAAGGUCAAAUUUCUUUGAAUAUUUGUGUUCCUUUUCACUUUCUUUCUGUCUAUGUUGUGUAAGAACUUGAUUAUAAAUAAGUGCUACAUCAUUAUUCAACACUCAAAAGUUGCUGCUGCUCAACUACCAAGAUGUUUAAGG
rnacentral:misc_RNA from 1 species